GAUGAACGCUGGCGGCGUGCCUAAUACAUGCAAGUCGAGCGAACAGACGAGGAGCUUGCUCCUCUGACGUUAGCGGCGGACGGGUGAGUAACACGUGGAUAACCUACCUAUAAGACUGGGAUAACUUCGGGAAACCGGAGCUAAUACCGGAUAAUAUAUUGAACCGCAUGGUUCAAUAGUGAAAGACGGUUUUGCUUUCACUUAUAGAUGGAUCCGCGCCGCAUUAGCUAGGUGGUAAGGUAACGGCUUACCAAGGCAACGAUGCGUAGCCGACCUGAGAGGGUGAUCGGCCACACUGGAACUGAGACACGGUCCAGACUCCUACGGGAGGCAGCAGUAGGGAAUCUUCCGCAAUGGGCGAAAGCUUGACGGAGCAACGCCGCGUGAGUGAUGAAGGUCUUCGGAUCGUAAAACUCUGUUAUUAGGGAAGAACAAAUGUGUAAGUAACUAUGCACGUCUUGACGGUACCUAAUCAGAAAGCCACGGCUAACUACGUG
rnacentral:rRNA from 1 species